rnacentral:rRNA from 1 species
UGGUAGGAUAGAGGCCUACCAUGGUGGUAACGGGUAACGGGGUGUUAGGGCACGACACCGGAGAGGGAGCCUGAGAAACGGCUACCACAUCCAAGGAUGGCAGCAGGCGCGCAAAUUACCCAAUCCCGACACGGGGAGGUAGUGACAAUAAAUAACAAUACGGGGUUCUUUCGGAUUUCGUAAUUGGAAUGAGUACAAUUUAAAUCUCUUAACGAGGAACAAUUGGAGGGCAAGUCUGGUGCCAGCAGCCGCGGUAAUUCCAGCUCCAAUAGCGUAUAUUAAAGUUGUUGCAGUUAAAAAGCUCGUAGUUGAAUUUCGGGAUCAUCAGGUUGGUCGUGCCUCUGGUAUGUACUGAUUUCGAUGGUCCCUCCUUCUUGAAGAGCCGUAAUGCCAUUAAUUUGGUGUUGCGGGGAAUCAGGACUGUUACUUUGAAAAAAUUAGAGUGUUUAAAGCAGGCAAUCGCUUGAAUACAUUAGCAUGGAAUAAUGAAAUAGGACGUUCGAUCCUAUUUUGUUGGUUUCUAGGAUUGACGUAAUGAUUAAUAGGGAUAGUUGGGGGCAUUAGUAUUCAAUUGUCAGAGGUGAAAUUCUUGGAUUUAUUGAAGACUAACUACUGCGAAAGCAUUUGCCAAGGAUGUUUUCAUUAAUCAAGAACGAAAGUUAGGGGAUCGAAGACGAUCAGAUACCGUCGUAGUCUUAACCAUAAACUAUGCCGACUAGGGAUCGGAUGAUGUUAAUUUUUUAAUGACUCAUUCGGCGCCUUACGGGAAACCAAAGUGUUUGGGUU